AGAUACUGAUAUCCAUUUAAAACAGGACAAGGCUCAAAGUGGUUAGACACAAUAAAGAGAAACAAAGAUGAAUAGACAGAAAAAUUAAAUAAAACAAACAAAACAACACACCGAAAAAACCAAAACCAUUAACUCAAACCACUCUUCACCACAAAUGAAUUGCCGCCAAGAAUAUCAUCCAAAAAACAAUUCAUCUUCCCUAAAACAAAUUUGAAACCACAACGCCGAGCAAGGAAGAAAACUUUUAAAUCCAACCAUGAAGAUUCAAAAGAACCUUCUCCAUCUUCAAAGUGAGCAAAGACCUAACAACCGAUCUGGACCCAAGUCAUCCAAUCCUCAACUAUCGCCUUCUUUACUAUUUCCAGAGGUGAAAAAUCCCAAACGCAAAGAAUCUUUCGUCGUCGCCCUUCGACCACCAGAAGAUGUGCCGCCCGAUUAGCUACCCUUGGCACAAAAUGAGAAUCCCCUUCCAAUAGAAUCCUACGAAAACCCAUUUCCUCUACAAAGAUCAGCGCCAUUUCAUAAGCACGAGCUUCAACAAUAAAAGCAUCAACCACAUCACCAUAUGGGUAAGUGCAAGCACGUAGAAAAACCCUCUUAUUAUUUCUUACUAGAACAGCUGCAUAAGAAAUUCUAGAUUCUUUUAGAAAUGAGGCAUCAAAAUUCAAUUUAAACGUACCACUAUCAGGAGGACGCCAUAAAUGCUGUCUCAUAGGAAUAGAAACAGAUUUUAGGUUCGAUUAACACAAGGCGAUAUCCUGGCAAUAGUCUCGAAUAAAUCCUAGGAGAUCCUACAUAGAAAACUUUGAGCUUUCAUGAAUCAAUUUAUUUCUCCUAUGCCAUAAUGCCCAUAGUGAUAUAAUAAGAAUCUAUCGAUUAGGAACAUCUGCUGCAAACAAGUUUUUAACAAAUUUGUCUUUGAAAUUUGAGGUAUUCUCGAGUGGAUAGACCCUGAUGUUGAGAGAGGUCCAUAACUACUUUAAGACACCACAAUUCCACAGUAAAUGGUCAGAAUCCUCCAAAUCUGCUUUACAGAGAGGUCAGACACCAUCCACAGUCAAUCGUCGUUUGAGAAGAUUGUUAUAGUAAGGCACAAAAUUGUUGAAGAGUCGCCACAUGUUUAUCUUAAUUUUAGCAGGAAUAUGUAAAGCCUAGAGCAUUUUGUAGAAAUCACUCUAUUUAUGUCUUAUGAGCGAAUGUUGCCCAUUAUUUUGUACUUGAUUUGUAAUCAAAACAUGAUACCCAUUCUUCACGGUGUAUUCCCCGGUAA